CCACAGGAUGCCCAGACUUUUAGCCAAACAUUAUCCUGUGUGUGUCUGGGAGACUGUUUCUGGAUGACAUGGACGUUUGAAUCCAUAGACUGAGUAAAGCAGAUUGCCCUCCCGAAUGGAGGUAGGCCUCAUCUAGUGAGGUGAAGACGUGACUACAAUGAAAAGGCUGAGUAAGAGGGAAUGCGUCCUACCUGACUUGUUUGAGUUGGGACCAUGGUCUUUCUCAGCCUUCAGACUCGGACUGAAACAGCAGCUCUUCUUGGAUCUCCAGCCUGCCGACUUUCAGCUUGGAACUUAUGCCAUCAGCUCUCAUGGUUCUCAGACCUUCAGACUUGAACUAGAACUACAAACCAGUUUUCCUGGGUCUCCAACUUGUGGACUGCACAUCUUGGGACUUCUCAGCCUCCCUAAUUGUAGCAGAGAAUGUUGAAUAUACGUUGAAGAUGCAUUUGAAAGAGAAGCUAAUACAUGGAGCAAGAACUGAAAGCAGAAAGAAGAUGGAUCAAGAGGACAGAUGGGGAAUCAAUAAAAAUAUGAAUGGAGAAGUGUGUAAGAUUGGGCUGGAGCGGACUUCUGGGUUCUUUUCCAUUUCAGUUUCACUGCAAGGAGCAUCUUCUAUGGGCAUCGGUAGCUUUCCCCACCAAAACCAGGACCCAGGGCUCCAACAUACGACACAUAAGACUUUGCCCUGAACUGGGAGGCAGAAAAUCUAGGAUCUAGCUCUGGUCCUGUCUGCAGAAAGCGAGAGUUCUCCUGCCAACCAGAGACCAAGAAUCUUCCCCAUUGAUAUCGAAGCGGAGAAGAACAACUGCCAUGAGAGAAUGACAAACUGCAGCCAGGACUGCGUAUGGACAGCGAGCUGGUUCUCACAGAAGCUUUCAGCCUGCUGGUUACACAGGCUCGUUGCUAUUUUGAUCUUUUCAUUAACUUCACAGUAAUACAAUUCCACAUUUCAAACAACUGAAUUUUGAUAUCUCACUUGCUUUAUGGUAGAGUUUUGCUGUGGUGCGUUAUGGUUUCCUUUUUGUUUUUUUAAAACAUUUCAACGAUGAAAGAUGGGGAAUUCAUUCUGAUGUAAAGUCUGAAGUCUGAAUGAAUUUGGUCUUUUUCAGAUAGACAGCAAACGCUCCCACUGUGAUUUAUACUUAGGAGAUAAUGUUUCCCCACUGGUACAAAAUGCCACCUUUAUCACAUGCUAUAUUCUGUAUGUUAUAUAUAUAUAUAUCUCAUAUAUGAGAUGGAUUUUUUUUCUAGACUUGCUAUUCUGUCCAUGAUAUGUCUAGUCAACUGACUAUCACAUUGUUUUAGCUCUUGUAGUUUUAUAAUAUACCAAUAUCUUGUAAAAUUAUUACCCCACCAGCACCAUUAAUUCUACUUUUCCCCCUAUUAUUUUCUGGCUUUUCUUCCAUAUUUUUCAGUGAACUUGAGGGUCAUCUUGUUUAAUUUAAAAUACUAUUUUUAUUUGAAUAAUAUUAAAUUUAUGGAUUAUACCUUGGUGAAAAGCAGCAUAUUCAAUGCUGAGUUUUAUUAUCUAAAUACGCAAUAUGUUUUCUAUUUGUUAAUGUCUUUUUUGGGCCCCCCAAAAUUGAUUUAAAAUUUUCUUCAUAUUGAUCUUGUACCUAUCAUAGAAAGUUUAUUCCUAGGUAUUUAAUUUUUUUGAUGGCAUUGAAAUAGAGUCUUUCACAAAUGUGUUUUCUAACUGGUGGUUGCCUGAAUGACAACUAUUAAUUUUGUUCCAGAAAACUUACUAAAUUUCCUUAUUGUUUUUAAAGUUUGGAGUUGUUUUUUUUUAGUAAUUCUCUUGUUCUGUCCAAAUAGACUAUCAAAUUAUGUACAAAUAUUGAUAAAUUUAUCUCUUCCUUGCCAAUAUUUAUAACUCUAACUUCUUCCUUUGUCUAAUAGUUUGACUAGGACAUCCAGUUCAAUAUUAAAUAAUAGCAAUUGCAGACAUUUCCAAGUUUAAUGCAACUUGUCUAGUGUUUCAACCUUAAGCCUAAUCCUGCCAUUGGUGUUGAAGCAGAUACAUUUUGUCAGAAAAGCAUGCAUCUAUCUCUAUUUUAAGAAUUUUUAUCAAAAAAGGAGUUGGCAUUUUAUAAAAUAUUUUUUCAUAUUCUUGUUUGCUAACUCUUCUAGAAUCAGAUUCGGUGGAUUAUAUUUUCCCAAAAAAUUAUUCCUUUAAUCUAGAUUUUCGCAUAUUUUGUGUGCGAAAUGGGGAAUGGAAGAAAGUAAUCUCAUAAAAUUCCUUUCACUUCCUUUUCAUUUGUGAUUAUUUCUUACAUAUUUUUUUGUUCGGAGUAUAUGUGUUUUUCCCUCUUCUUGAUUGAAUUAGAUACAAGUGUAUCUCUUAUUUUUUCCAAAGAACUAGCAAAUCAAUUUAUUUAUCAGUUCUACCAUUUUCUGUUAAUCAGAAAUCCACCCUUCUUCUCCCAUUUUUUUUACAUUAUCUUCUUCCCUAUUUUUCCCAUGGGUUUAAUUUAUUGCAUUCCUCGGCCUGUCAUGUCUUCCUUUCUUUGUCCCUGAUGAAAGUCUACUCAUACUUCUGUAGCUCAGCUCAGAUAAUACUUUCUCUGACCCCUUCAUCAGAAGCAGUCUUCCCUCAUCUCUGCUUCCACGGGUUCUGUACACACUUAAUUUGUGGUAUCUUUUAUACUUUAUCUUAAUUUUCUCUAUAGCUUCUCUAACUACACUGCUUGUAAUAUAAUGUCACUCAAGUAAUGUUCAAUAAUGAAGCAAUAAUAUAGUGAUCUCAAUGGGUACAUACAAUGCUUACUUUUCUUAUCUAUCUUCUUAUCUACAUCUAGAAUACUUAUUUAUAGAGCUUAAAAUUCAGCGAAAUGCAUUAGAACAAUAGACAGUGAAGAUAGUUAUUCACAGAGAAGUUCUCUACACUAUGGAUCAGUUAUGUCCUAAUUUAUCUUUCUACUUUUGACAAAAUGGAACUGAAUUUGUUUUAUUUUAAAAAGAAAGAUGUCAAACCAUGGACCUCCUUUUCAACGUGGGUUGAAUUUUAUCAGACUUUUUUUCAACAAACGAAGUUUUCAUAAUCAUGGACUUUCUUUAGACUAAUUUUCUUUAAAGAUUUAUAUAUAUAUAUAUAUAAAGUCAUUUGGCCAUUGAUCAAAAAAAAUGCCCCCACACAUCAUAUAAUUUUAGAUGUAUCAUAGAAAUUUCUCUAUCCCUAGGAUACCUUUUUCAUUAGGCUCAUUGAAGCCCGAAAAUCCAGUUUGAGAUACAUUCUUUUGACUAAAGAUUACUUUUAUCUCUCAAAAUGGAAAGCUUUUCGAAAAUAAUGUACAUUAUCAAAUAAUCAAAAAAUUCAUAUUCAUCUACUUUAUACAAAUGCUUUGAAGUUUAAAUUUAUUGCGUCAUUUCCAUGGAGUCUCCAGUUAUGUUGGUCUUAAGAAAGGAAAAUGAAACAGCAUAUUGUGUGUAAGGGAUUGAGGAAAGGAAGGCUGAGGACAUGAAAGUUUCCUUACCCUAUGUAUUUGUUCAUAGCUAUCAUCUUUUUUAGCCCAGUGGACCAAGCGCUGUAUUAAUGUAAGGUCCAGAGUAUGUUGUUUAACCUUCAAAAACCAGAUGGCAUCUAUUUAUACAAAUUAACAAAUAUUUAUUAAAUGCCUACUGUGUGCUUGCCACUUUUCUAGGUGCUUGGGGUACAGCAGUGAACCAAACAACAACAAAUCCCUGUCCCACUGGAUUUCACAUUCUACUAGGAAAAGUCAAAUAAUAAACAUUGAUCAUAAGAAGUAAACAAAUUACAUAUUUUUUCAGAGAGUGAUGAGUGCUACGGAAAAAUAGAGCAGCUUAAGGGGAGGAUCAAGGGUGCUAGAGGUGGGAGAGGUGACAAUUUUAAAUGAGAUGGUCAAGGGAAGCCUCACUGAAUUUAUAAUAUAAGAAACCUCAAAAGUUUCAGGGUAAGGGAAGUUGACCAAAGAACAUCUAGAGAAAACAGUGUUCUUCAUGGAAGGAACCGCCAGUGCAAAGGCACUAAGACGAGGACAUGCUUGGCAUGUUCAAGUAGCAGAGGGAAGCUAGUGUGGUUGGAAUGAGAGAGCAGAGUGGGGCAUAGAGAACAGAGAGGGGUCAGAGAGAUACUGGGGUGAGGAGUGGAGGAGGUGGCCUUGUAGGAAUUGGCUUUUACUCUGAGUGAGAUAUGAAACUAUUGGAAGGCUUUAAAUGGAAGACUGACAUGAUCUGAUUUACGGAUUACUCUGACUCUGUAUUAAGAAUAAACUAUAGUGAGCCAAGAGGAGAUGCAGGGAAACUGGUUAGACAACUAUUGCGAUCAUCUAGGUAAAGAUGAUGGUUUGAGACUGAGGUAGACCACAGGAAGUGGUAAGAAAUGAUCAGGCAUAUUUUGGAGGUAGAAUUGGCUGGUGGAUUAGAUGUGGGGUAUGAGAAAAAGAGCAGGAAAAAGGUUGACUGCAAAAAUUUGGGCCUGGAAUCAUCAUCAAAUGAUGGGGGGAAGACUGCAGGUAGAGGACCUUGCAGGGAGUGGACCAGAAGUUCCAUUUUGGACAUGUUAAGUUUGAUAUCUCCAUCAGUCAUCCAAAAAGGAGGUUUUCAGUAGACAAUUUGGUAGUCAAGUCUGAAGUUCAGAAGAGAGGUCUGGGCUAAAGAUACAAAUUUGGGAGUUUAUGGUGUAUACGUAGAAUUUAAAUUCACAAGACAGGUCGAAAUUUCCAGGAGAGGGAAUGUAUAUGGACAAGAAGAAAAAAAACUAAACUCUAUGGCUCUUCAACAUCGAGAGUUUGAGGAGAAGAGGAGAAACCAGUAAGAGGAAACCAAGGAGCAGCACCCAGUGGGGUGAGAGGAAAACCCGGAGUGUGGUGUCCUUGAAAACAGAAGAAAAAAUCAUGUCUGGAAAGAAGGAGAUCUUGACCCUCCCAAAUGCAGCUGACAUGUUAAGUAAGAUGAGUCCUAAGUUUUGACCAUACACGGAUUUAGCAGCAUGAAUGUUAUUGGUGACCACAGAGAGAAUAGAUGCCUUGAUGGGGGUAACAUCUUGAUUGGAGGGACUUUAGGAGGUAGAGAGAGACAGUGAGCAUAGGCAAUUAUUUCAAAGAAGUAGAUACAAUUAUUAAGACUGUUUUACAAAGACCCAAAGAGGGUUUUUACUUGCCUAAGUUCAUAAUAUUAACAAGUAGAGCUGGGACCUGAAAUCAGGUUUGCUUGAAUCCAGAAUCUGCUCUCUUCACCACCAUCCUAUACUGUCUGAGAUCUGCCCUGGUCACAGACAUAAUAAUUCAGUGAAGGAAGAAACAGACUAGAAGCGGCCAUUUAGCUCUUGUCUUCUGUGUUUUCCCACCAAGAUUUCAAACCAGUAUUCCUACAACCUUCCACGGCAUAAAUUCCCUUCUCACUUUCUAGUGCCAUUCUCUGUGUCACCUUUUUAUCACCUCACUUGUGUAACCAUUUAUUCUCACUCAUCCAAUUCCUUCCUCUUUAAGAACAAAUUAUCUUGUUUUCUUCUAUGUCCAAUUAGCAUAUUCAGUGUUUCCAGAUCUCUAAAUUCAUGCUUUAUUUGUCACUUAUCUAGAAAUAAAAGUCCUUCAGUCCAUUUCCUCUACCCAGUAGACUCUGUCUGCUAAGAUCUAAAAUAAAUCCACCACUGAACCUGGCUAAGAGGUUAAGAUACCUCAUAGAGUCGGAAAAUAGAACAAAGAAUAGAAAAUAGAGUGAAGAAACUUUGUGUGUCUGUAUAUGGUUGGGGGUGGGGGAAGUGACAGGUAAGCAACAAACCAGGCUGAAAAUAGGACUCCAGAGUAAGUUAGAUUUCUAGCAACAUCUCCAGCAGUGUUGGCAGAAAGUGGAUCCAAGAGUGGAUAAAAGCAUAUGGUCCAUAGCAUGACAAAGAGAGGAAUCAAAAAAAUCAUGUUUCACGAAAAAAGACUAUCAGGACACACAAAGUGAGGACAAGGAAUGAGUCUGGUAACCACCGACUUGGGCCAAUCAGAUAGCAAAUAACAUUGCGAGAAUGAGCCCUUGAGCACAUAUGACUUGGCAUGAAGUGUCUUGCUUUUGCUUCUCUUCACAUGGCAUAUCUUCAAGUGGCUAUGGCUUAUUUGUUCCAUAAAGUACUACCAAAAACUCCUCCUCAAACUGGAAAUUCAUAGUCAUAGUAACAAGCUCAAUAUAAACAGAGCCUCUGUUUUACAAUGCACUCUGUUCUGGGUCACUUGAAACACUGAUUUCUUCACGGAUGCUAUCAUCCUCUCCUGACACGAUAGCUCUAGUCAUAAUAUGCGCCUUUGCAACAUGCAGAUGUGUCCAUGACGCAUAUAUGCCUUUUUCAGGCCUGAUUCUGCGUACACAGAGCUCUUCCGUGUGUGUUGCCCACCGUCUCAAUGAGAGCCCAUGACUCACGAUCUGUGGCUUUGAGUCAUGCUCUGAAGUGAUGUGAAUUAGUCUUAAUUUGGUGCUUUUCAGUUAUCAGUAUAAGCCCUGCCUGCUGAGAGCUUUGUUUUGUUUUCCUUCCUAGCACUUGGAACUCCCUUAAUUGGUAGUUGAUAACUUCCACAGUGUGUAUUUUACAUGGAGGAGUGAAAGUUGGCCCAAUUAUAAGCAAAAAGAACAAAACAAAUUUGCACCGAAUAGAAAGUGUAUUGUGAAAGAACUAACGGCUGGGAAAAGCAGAGAUUUUGUAGAUAAAAAGCUGCUUUUUGCUUCAUUGUAAAGCAAGUGACUUCACCCUCUAAUCGCAGAUCACAAAUGAAGGUGACAACCCUGGAGAACUUGACAGAUAAGGGAGGGAGAGAUGGGAGGGAGAAGCCUCAUCCAUUUAUGUGUCCAUAUGUAUGUCCCUGAGAUGAAAUUGUUGUACCAGAAAAGGGAGAAUUGAAUAGAAUAGGAGGAUAACAUUCAAGCAUCAAGUGCCUCUACCACAUCCUGGUGCCCAGACAAAAAAUAAUCUGAGGUUGUAACAUCAUUUUACGUCCUGACAUAGUCUGGUAUUUAAAAGGUUUUAUGAACUAAUAGCAUCUGAGAACCUGAGAAAUGCGCCUAAAAUUGAACUAUCUGGUUCAGGAAACACGUAGACAAUGGUCUGAGUGAUUCACUUUUGUGUUAGAACAGAGAGGAGGAAAACUUGUAUAUUUGUUAAAGUGUUUACAUAGACAGAAGAUCUUGAAAGUGCGCCUAUCAUUUUCUUUUUUUUUUUCACUAUUGCCCUACCCUUGUUUAAUCUUCACUGGUUUUCUGUGGUCGUUUUUUCAGUAAAGAAAGUUUAUUUUUUGCUAAAUGUUUCAGCUAGAUUUUCAGACUUUUGAGUAAGAAAUUCUUUGUAUCCUGGGAAUUCUACAGUCUCUUAUUCAUAAUAGUUUUAUACACAAUUGAUACUUCAUGGAUAACUCAGAAUUAAUUUUUAUUUGAUGCUGUAAUAUAUUAUAUCUCUUUUCCAGAAAAUUCAUCUGUGUUCAGUCUACAUCAAGAUAUUAAUAAAAUGAGAAGGUCAAAUGUUAUUCAGCAUCCAAGAUAAAACCAGUCUGUGGUUCCACACUCUAUAUAUAUUACAGAUGUGACUAAUUCAGAAGUAGAUUGCUCUUGCAUAGACAUACAUUAUGUUCCACUUUAAUAAAAAUAGAUCUAUUUCUCUUUC